rnacentral:rRNA from 1 species
UACGAAGGGGGCUAGCGUUGUUCGGAAUCAUUGGGCGUAAAGCGCACGUAGGCGGCCUGAUAAGUCGGGUGUGAAAGCCCUGGGCUCAACCCAGGAAGUGCACUCGAAACUGUCAGGCUUGAAUAUGGAAGAGGGUCGCGGAAUUCCCGGUGUAGAGGUGAAAUUCGUAGAUAUCGGGAGGAACACCAGUGGCGAAGGCGGCGACCUGGCCCGAUACUGACGCUGAGGCACGAAAGCGUGGGGAGCAAACAGG